GGAGGCGUUGUAGAGCGGUUAAUACAACGGUUUGCUAAACCGUCGGUUCCCUAAAGGGCCGGGCAGGUUCGACUCCUGUCGCCUCCG
rnacentral:tRNA from 2 species